UUUCCUGGGCCCUGGGCGGGGGCUGCCCCAUCCCUGUAUCCCCCGGUCCUUCCUUCCCCACCUGGAGUGAGUGGGUCACAGCUAGUGGGUUAGCUGGCUGUGGACCUUUCCCCGCUGCCCGGCUGCUAUGAGCCACCCCUGGACGAUGGAAAAGCCAGGCCAAGGCUGGUGCAGUUAGUCUUGAACUCCACUGAACUGGGUUCACAUCUGACUCGGCCACUUGCUAUGCCUGUGAUCUUGGGCAGGUCACCUCAACUUUCUAGGUGCACCUUUUUAGUCCUGACAGGAUUGUCACGAGAAUUAAGUGGAACAGGCCAUGAGGCGAGAGAGGAGGGACAGGAGUGAGGCCAUGCCAGGUGGAGUAGCUUGUUCAGUGGAGGGUGCUGCUGUGGUCUAGACAGGAGAAGGCCAGUGGAACUCCCAUUCCCCUCUGCCCUCCCAUGCCCUGGCCAAGCUCCUCUGUAGCAGCGGAGUCCAGGGCAGGUCACCCUAGCCAUGGCCUUGGCUGUCCGGUGUGUGACCUGGGUGUCAUGGUGCCACCUCCUUCCUGGGAGCAGUAAGGAUUCCACGCCACGGAGGACAGAUGAGGAAAUGGACCCAAAAGGUUUGGGUGUGGCAGCAACACUAGAUCAAAGUUGGGAUGCUGGGCAUAUCUCUUGCCCUCCCUGGCAGGCCUCAGUUUCUCCCUGUAAAGCGGGGUGAGGUCAGCAUCUGCCUCUUGGGCUCGUGGAGAUUCUGUGAGGUGACUUGUGUGGUGGUUCAUGUGACUCAUGGCCCAAGGUCCCAUCUGAUGCCAAGGCUGAAGGAGUCUCGCUCCCACGAGUCCCUGCUCAGCCCCAGCAGU
rnacentral:sRNA from 1 species